rnacentral:rRNA from 1 species
UACGUAGGGUGCGAGCGUUGUCCGGAAUUACUGGGCGUAAAGAGCUCGUAGGCGGUUUGUCGCGUCGUUUGUGAAAGCUCACAGCUCAACUGUGAGAUUGCAGGCGAUACGGGCAGACUUGAGUACUGCAGGGGAGACUGGAAUUCCUGGUGUAGCGGUGAAAUGCGCAGAUAUCAGGAGGAACACCGGUGGCGAAGGCGGGUUUCUGGGCAGUAACUGACGCUGAGGAGCGAAAGCGUGGGUAGCAAACAGG